rnacentral:rRNA from 1 species
CAGCCGCCGCGGUAAUACGUAGGGUGCGAGCGUUAAUCGGAUUUACUGGGCGUAAAGCGUGCGCAGGCGGCCCGUUAAGACAGGUGUGAAAUCCCUGGGCUCAACCUAGGAAUUGCGCUUGUGACUGGCGGGCUCGAGUACGGUAGAGGGGGGUGGAAUUCCUGGUGUAGCAGUGAAAUGCGUAGAGAUCAGGAGGAACACCGAUGGCGAAGGCAGCCCCCUGGGCCUGUACUGACGCUCAUGCACGAAAGCGUGGGGAGCAAACAGGAUUAGAUACCCUGGUAGUCCACGCCCUAAACGAUGGGUACUAGCCGUUUGGUGCGCGAGAGCGCUGAGUGGCGAAGCUAACGCGUGAAGUACCCCGCCUGGGGAGUACGGCCGCAAGGUUGAAACUUAAGGGAAUUGGCGGG